rnacentral:misc_RNA from 1 species
AAUUUCAAGAGUUGUGGAACCAAUGACAUCGGUUGCGGUGUAAAUCGAUGUCGUAUAUCUGGAGCAUAACAUAUGUAACAGAAAAUUAGUUGAUGCACUCUACCCUCUCUCUCUUUCUUUAGCACGCAACGGCCUUGCUUCGUGUAUGUGAUGAUCUCAAUUGUGAAAUUGAUUAGCGUCAUUUUGAUAAACUGGUGUUAUUCGAUAUUAGUAAGGCGUUUGAUACCGUCGCGUACCAUCGAUUACUCGUCAAGCUUCGGAUUUUUGGAUUUUCGCACGAGGUCCUGAAUUUUAUCUUCUCUUACCUAACUGGCAGAACCAAGGAAGUAUUCACUUGUUGAAAUCGCAAACCACUUUGGAAAGCAGUCGCUUUGAAAAUUGCUUGAAAUCAAAACGUAAUAAAAUGUUGAAUGAAAAAUGCCAUUUACAUGUUAAAUGCCAAUUUCUAAGGAUCAUUGAGGGGUUGGCGGAUUAUAUACGUGGAAUUUUCUAGACGCUGGUUGAAGCCUUGUCCAAAUCCUGUACCGUAACAACUCCGUGCUGUUGCCCCGCCGUUAGUCAUAAGAGUGUGGUGAUUAGUCAUGUAAAGGAAAUAACAGCUGCAAUGUUUCCCCACACAUUCUUGUUGUUGUUACGUUUAUGACUUUUCCUCGGUUACGGUUAGACUACCGCAUUAUCGGACACCCACGGAAGUUGACAUAUAAGUCAUCAUCGCUGGAAUGGGUUUUACACAGUUAUAUCGUGACAAAUUUUCAGAAUACUUGUUACGAGGCUUCAAUGCUCUGCAUGGAUUCUCCGCCAACUAUACAGUAAAAAUUGUUCAUGCUAUGUUAUAUGCGUAUUUAUACUCUAGAUUGGUAUACGUCCCUCGAAUUUUUAAAUUGGUUCGUAGGGACCGAGAUAUGUAACGCGAUCACCCUGAUUACGGGACCCGAACACGGUUGAGCCAAUUAUCGAAACACCUACAUAGAACGAGGUGAAAAUUUAUUACGAAAAUAAAACGGAGGCUAAGGUGUAUUCUGAUCUCGGUCUUGGCGGUUUUCACCAUGCACACGGUCUUCUACACAGGUUGGGAGCUCCCAUCCCUUUGUCUUAAAACGAGUCCUAAUCGUAUUGAAAGCGCUGUAAUCGCGCAUUUUUUUAUUAUACUAUACUAUUAUACUAUUAUACUAUUACAUUCUCUGCGGCUGACGAAGACUCGCGGAGCUCUUGAGCUGAACGUGGAGGAAAAAGUGGAACAGCCAGAAGUCGAUGCAAAAGAUGAAGAAGAAAUACACCAUGGAGAGAGAAAAAAUGGAACGCUUCUGGAGGGAAAGACUAGCAUUGACGGUCAAGGCACCCAUCGAACGAUUUAUGUCAAUUGUUCAACAGCGGGCGUAACGUGCCGCACAGUAAUGUGUGAUCUUAACAUGUCAAAAACAUCUGGAGAAGUAGAAAUUUCAAUUCUAGAUAUGAUAUUUGACCUACAGCCGUUACUUACAACCAACGGAUAUUCUUUCAUCAGCUUCAGCACCGACGCGCGAGCACUAAUCCUUGAACCGAUAUUAUUGGACACGAUGAAUGGUUCGCGCUUCGUAGAGGCUAAAGCGUCCACGGUACCUAAUCGACAAUUCGCCGGAGACUCAGACAUUGGCGGGUUUGGUCUUACCAGUUUCGUUAUGCGUUGGCCUUCUAUCAGUCGUCCUUAAUUCUGCUCAUCGUUAUGUUGAAAGUUGGUUUCUUCAACAGACCAAAGAAGGCCAUGAUCGCUUCGGUACAAAAAAUGACGUUGAAGUUGAAGGAGGACGACGGCUACGAAGAACUUAAUCUCCACGAGUAAUCGAAUAAAAUAUGUCGAGAUCUUUACGUAAAGACAUUACCUAUAAUUGUCAUAACGAAGUUCGUAUGUAUGUGUCUCGCGCAGUUUUCCACUGGCUGAUCACAAACGCCUACUACAUCUCUAAAUUGAGACUUCAUCAGUUUUUACAUUAUACAUAUUCGAUAUAAAUACGGAGUUCUAGAGAAACUAUGUAGAAGAAUAAUAAUAAAAUGUCUGACUAUCAUCG